UUACCGACAGACAUAUAGAGACGACUUUGGAAGUGUUUUUGUUUUAUAUCAGCGAGCUGAUUCUGAACGAAGUAGUUGACCUGAUGAAGCAAUUUUAGGAGGUUUCUUAGUUCCGCCUCCACUUUUUGUUUCUACGCAACAAUUACCCUAACUAUAUGUUUCCCCCUCCUCUUCGACAUUUCAAACGAUGUAGUUCAUAAGAAUGUUCGGCCCCCUCCCCCUCGCUGGCCGGUGCGUGUAGCUCCAUUUUGUGUGGCAACGCAGAGCUGAGCUCCUCCGGUCUGCUGUCCGCCACAGGAGGAGCUUCUGGGCUUAGAACUCCAAAAGUUCGCAGUAAAUCCCUGGUGAAAUGUGAAUUUCUAUGAUGGCUGAAAACUCUGAGAACACAUCCUGUUUCCAUGAUGUCAGUGCAGGAAGUAAGAGCCACCUGCUAUCUGGGUAGCCUGCUUCUAUUUUCCUUUGUUUACUUUUGUACAAUACUAAAGAGACUAAACUUUUCAUCUCCAAAGUUGGACAUGGAGCUUUAAUCACCUUUCUGCUGGGACUUCACCUGAAGUUUCUUCUAGAAACAUUUACUAGCAAUUUCAGUGACAAAGAAAAAACUAAAAGAAUGACAUAGAAAUUUCAGGUUUGAAUAAAUAUCUGAAAAAACCCCAGAAUGAACAAAAUGGUAUUUUUCCAGAUGUUUUUUCUUCGUUUGGUUUUUACGAGAAAUAUUACAUCUGUAAUUUUUACAUGCAGUUGGCCAGGCAAGGCGUUUAGCAGUAACUGCCUCACAUUUAACCCUGGAGGCUGAUGCCACAACUAUCAGUCUGAGGUGUAACAAUUCAUUUUCAUAGGUUUAAUUUGCCAGAUAUCCUCAUGUUGAUGGAGGUGAACAGUUCUACUUUUAAAAUAUAAAUUUGUUAGGAAAAAUGUAGUUCCUGAUUAUUUAUUUACUGAUAGUCUGUGACUUUUCAUGCUGUUUUUAAGGCCUGACCACUGUAGAAAUAUUUGCUGUAAAUCUGUGAUAAACAUUUGCAUUUAAACACCAAAAAUGGACCAAAGAGAUAUAAAAAAUUAGAGUCACAACAAAUGAGCACCAUGUAGGAAGUUUAGUAAUCUGCCACUUUGCAUGACCUUAAAAGUUACAAAUAGAAAUACAAAUGAAUAUUAUUAGAGGGAUUUCCAUUACAAACCAGGCAUUUCUGACCAAUGAUUUAACUUCAGAAAGCAACUACAUCACAGUGUUAAACAGACUAAAGAUAUUUAAAAUUUUUACUUUCAGAAAAAGAUGACAAAUACUUUAAGCUAACUAAACUUUUUUCAGUUUUUCAAAAAACUUGUGAAAACAUUUAAUUUUAACAGGCUAAUCACUUUGGAUGAAACUAACUGAAAUUAUUUAGAUUUUUCCCCUUUCAGAUAAUUUAAAGGUUAUUUAACUUUAGUUUUUAGUAUUUAAUUAGUUUUUGGAAGUUAUCUAGCGCAUUUCAGUUCAUGAAAUGCGCUAGAUCUGUGAAUUCACUUAAAUUCACAGAUUUAAGUGAAUUUAAAUUUGUGAAAAGCAGGGAAAAUGAUCUUAUGUCAUAAAUGCGAGCAGAUGAUCACCACCACAGCUUCCAUCACAGCGAAGCAAAUCAAUUUCCCAGUUAGGACAACCUCAGAACUUCAUCUGAUGAUGAAACUAAAAGAUCAAGAUGAAAUCACUUUGAAACCAGCAGUGGUGGAAAGUUAUUGAGUAUUUUUACUUCAGUUCAGCGCUUAUGUGCUGUUCCACAGUAUUUCUGUUUUUACUUCUUUUGAUCUUGUACAUUUAGGAAGUAAGUGUGGAGCAUUAUUUUCAUCUCCAUCUGCUGUACAUCCUAUUUCUUUGGAAUUGAAGAAUAACUAAAAUUUGUACACUGAUUUGCAUGACUUCAGAAUAAAAUGUUUCUGAAUUUACCAAAUAUAGUGAUGCACAAAAACUGUGCAUGUGCUUCACUAUAUUUGAUCUUUUUCAUCACAAAUCUCCUGUUGCUUUGGCUUCAGUUCUACUCUGCUUAGGUUUUCUCAAUUUUGCAUAGAAGCAUUUCAGGUUUUUUAAAGAAGUAACUUUCUGUACUUUGCUCUGUUUUUAACAGGUUCCUGUACACUGUCCUGAAAGGUCUUAACUGUGGAAACUGAUUAUCAAUCAAAUUUGCAUUAAUAUAGAAAAAAUAGAAUGAAGUAUCAAAAUAACUUUACUUUCUACCCCGUUUUCCCCAGUUUUUUUCUUUAUAUAAUUUUAUAUUUAGGUCAAAUACUUCAUAUUAGAUUUGCCACAUCACAUUGUAAUGUUUAUGCUGCAUGUUUAGAUGUUUGAAUUACUGACAUAAAACCCUCGCAUAAAUCCACACUUCAGAAAAACUGAUCAAACAACGGACAUUUCACAGCAUGUUUUUGAUUCAGGGCUUUAAAUUGGGCCUGUGGUUCUUGAACUGGAUCUCAAAUGAUCUCAAACCUUAAAAUUUGUUUUGUGUUUUGAAGAAGAUCUCACAUUGUGAUUUUAAAGAAAAAAUCAUCAAAAAUCAUGGACUGCAUUAACUAUCUGGAGUUAAUGCAGUCCAGAUAGUUCUGGGUGUUACAGGUUUAAAAGUAGACCAGAUACCAAAUAUCUUUACAUUUAGCAAGCAAAUGUUUUGUUUUAACAUGUUCCAUGUAUUGAACUCGAAACAUAAAGAAAACUGAGUUUAUCUCUAGGAACUCCACUUUACUGAAAUAACAAAGUGUAUUGCACAAUGGAGGUCAAUAAUCCAUCUUCACGGCUUAGAAACAGAUGCACUUGUUUGAUGAAGAGGAGUUUUUUAUAUUUCAUAUAUUCUACAUACAAUAUGCAGUGAGUGGAAGUUCUGAGUUUUCAGCUGUUGGUCCUGGUUUUGCCUAAUGUAAGAAAUCAGGUCCAGUUGUUACUUCUGGUGCUUCUGAAAUCUGGAUGUUAUUUACAAAUUCAUAAUCACAAGUAAUUUAACGUAGAACCCGGCUUUACAUCUUUACAUCAGCGGUUUCCCACACUUCCAGAAACGGGAAAGUGAACUGAAAUGACGUCUCUGCUCUGUUACAUUGGGCCGUUAGUCCAGCAGCAGAUAUGCCACAAAAACAUCAGAAUACUUUCAGGACCGGCCAGCGUUGGGUCUGCUUCACAUUUACUGUGCUGGAACAAACUGACGAGGAAGCAAGCAGAUGCAUGUUGUCCAUACUUACUGCAGAGUAAGUAUGGACUGGCCAAAGGUCUUUAAACAUGUUUGUCUCUGCAGGAAGACGCUGAAUUUACACAAGACUCUUCAAACCUGCAGCACAAAAGAAGCUCUGUGUCUGAAAAGAAUUCAGUGAAAAACGGAGUAUGUCUCGUCUGAGGAAGAGUUAGGUCUUCACCUGGACCAGAGGCAUCACAUCAAAUAAGACGUUCAUCUUUCAAAGGUUGAGCCUGGCUCGGCAUCUUCCUCUGCGUCUCCUGAUGAAACGUUUCUGGCGGAGGCAAACCUG